UGCAUAUUACACCUGUGCCGAGGUGAUAAACAACUAAAAGUCUAGUGGAUAAAAAUAGCUCUACGUCACUUGUAUGACCAUGUAAUAGUUAAGCGAAGGAUUUCCCCACGUGAUACGAUGUUUGUUUAUGUAUUGACAAACGAUUUUUACUAGAAAUAUGUGACGCUUUGAAGAACUUUACUUUAAUAUGAAUAUCCAGUUAUUACUUGUUAUUUUACUCGGGACACCUAAACUCCGCUGUGUAUGGAAUCUUUUCACUAUCGUUUUCCUCAAUGCACAAAUUGCAGUUCAUAAUGUCUAUGUCCCUGCUCAUGUUUUCUCCAUAUCGUGCAGUGCAUUAAGGUGGUGUAAUUUGGAGUAAUUUCAAUAUGGAGAGCUGGGGAGACAUUUUGUCUUAGAUCACCAGAGUCACUCAGAUGACAUAAUGUAUUUGGGAACCAUCUGUCAGUCCGUCAGUCCUUUUCUUGUCAGCGCAACUCCUCUGAGACCGCUCAACAAAAUUUCGUGAAACUAUGUAGUUAUUAAGGACACACUGUGUAAACGUGUAUACUCCCUGGAAAUUCUUAUUCAAUAAUUUUUGUAGGAAUUACGCUCCUUUUGAACUUAGAACUGAGCCCAUUUGUCCUGUUCCUGUCAGUGCAACUCCUCUCAGACCGCUCAACAUAAUUUCAUGAAACUAUGUAGUUUUUGGCAGAUAUGCACCUUUUUAACUUAGAAUUUCGAGCCCAUCCGCCCGGUUGAAGCGCGGUGUAUGCGAGCUUGCUCACCUCUGCUUUAUUUCACUCACAUAUGUACUCCUUGUGACAAGACCUUUCCUCUUGUAAAUGUUGACCUCAUGACCUUGUUUGCAAUUUACUACUUUGGCAAUAACUUUUGAACGGUUAGUGUUACCAGAAUUUACUUGUCUGUUAUACAUUACCAUCAGUGUUUCACAAACACACCUUGUCAAUCCUGUAACUAUGCAAGCGUCCCCAGGUAGCAUAUAUUCAAGUUUGUUUAAUUCACAACCUCAGACAUGGAGGUUAGUCAGGGCUAGAUAGGAGAUCAAAUACUUGUAACAGCUGUGUCAUGAUUAUUCAAACAAGCACCCUCAGGUAGAGCACAUUCAAGAGGAUUCUUUGCUUACCAGACAUCAAACGUACUACACUGGUACACCGUAAUGAGUAGAUGACCCCUAGUGCUUUUGAGGUGACAUGAUCAAAUGUCAAACUGAACAUAGACAUACAUCGUCCGCUCAAUAUCUUGAUAACCCUUUGCUUGACAGAUAUUUAUCAUGGUGCACUGGUAUAUCAUAAGGAGUAGAUGAGCCCAAUUAAUUUUGGGUUCAUAUGGUCAAGGGUUAAACUGGACAUAGUAAUAUAUUGUCUCCUAUAUUUUAAGAAUCAUUUGCUUGAUGACGCCAAAUUUGGUACACUUGUACAUCCUAAGGGAUACAUGACCCCUAUUGAUUUUAGGUCACAUAGUUAAAGGACACAUCUCGCGUUUUCAAAGUUCUCAAAAUUAUACGUAAUUUACCUUCCUUAUAUACACAGUAAUGAAUUCUAAUGGUUAGUUUGUGGACAUAAAGUGAUAAUUAGCCAAAUUAUGGCUUCAAAGCUAGGACCCGAUUGUAAAAACAUCUCGCUAAUUAGGUAGGGAGUCACGUGGUACCGUGACGUCAUAUGCGACCUUCCUCGAUCAGCUUAUAGUAAAAAUAGUGUGGAAAUCUUAAAGAACUCUGCUUUUAAUCACCAUAAUUCACCAUGGACGACAUCUGUUCCGAUUUUGAAGAAAUUCCCGAAAAUCUUCACAUUCAACCUUAUAUGUUUGAACCACCAUCGCGUUCAAAUAGGAAUGUAAAUACCCAAGAAAGUAAAGAGGAAAGCGAGGAUGAAAUCUGCAAUGAUGAGAAAAUUUAUCGCCGUCGGAACACUAUUUGGUGCGAGUGUGGGAUUUAUGAAGUGAUGGAGACCAGAACAGAAUGCAUAUGCUGUGCUGAGAUUCCAGUCAUAUAUGAGCUUCGAGAGUCGAGUGACCUUGAAUGCAUCACACAACACAGAACUUUCAUAGGCAAUUGUUUGAAUGCACGAGUACUGGAAGUCAGUCUUUAUGACUUCAUUCAAAGAUAGGGGCCUUUGGAUGACAAUGAAACCAUUAAUGAGUAAGAUAAUAUUCAAAUCUUGAUCAGUUGAAUACUCAAAUGUAAAUAAUGAUUCCUGUUUUCUUUAAUUCUGUACAAAAACAAUCACAUAAAAGUUACAAACAAUUCACAACAACAGUAUUUCCAACAACAGUCUCCAACUAACUUCACUUAGUUCAUGGCACAUAAACCAAAUCAGUUACAGCUGUAAUUGUUUUAUCGUUGACAGAACAUACAGACACAAAUCAGUUACAGCUGUAAUUGUUUUAUCGUUGACAGAACAUACAGACACAAAUCAGUUACAACUGUAACUGUUUUAUCGUUGACAGAACAUACAGACACAUUGCAUAUCGCCGGUUUGUCCUCUGGAUAUGGUAUCGACUCGGACGGAGGAAUCGUAAAGUUUUGGUACCAUGUGUUGUCACAACAAUUCGCAGGACAUUCCUAUCAGAGGAUUACACAGGAUUCCAAGCCCACUGUAUAGAACCAUAGCUCUACCGUGCACAUCUAGUACGCCUUGUAACAAUGAGCUGGUCUUUGUUGACUGCAGCAUAGCCUGAUGUAAGGGUUGGUGGUUGGUAUCCAAGAGAAGCUUUUCCAUCAGAUGAAGCUGCUGAACACGAGGGUAGCUGGAGCCUGCGUUCCACAAGAUUCAGUCGCAAGAUGUCAAUAUAAUCGGAAAAGUAUGAAACUGUUUAAAUAUGUGAUUUGAAAAUUUUUAUGUUAUGAAUCCUUUUCUGAUUGAUAUUAUCUACAUUGACCAACAGUGUUAAAACAAAUAAAAAGAUGUAGAAUUAA